GAUGAACGCUGGCGGCGUGCCUAAUACAUGCAAGUCGAGCGAACGGACGAGAAGCUUGCUUCUCUGAUGUUAGCGGCGGACGGGUGAGUAACACGUGGAUAACCUACCUAUAAGACUGGGAUAACUUCGGGAAACCGGAGCUAAUACCGGAUAAUAUUUUGAACCGCAUGGUUCAAAAGUGAAAGACGGUCUUGCUGUCACUUAUAGAUGGAUCCGCGCUGCAUUAGCUAGUUGGUAAGGUAACGGCUUACCAAGGCAACGAUGCAUAGCCGACCUGAGAGGGUGAUCGGCCACACUGGAACUGAGACACGGUCCAGACUCCUGCGGGAGGCAGCAGUAGAGAAUCUUCCGCAAUGGGCGAAAGCCUGACGGAGCAACGCCGCGUGAGUGAUGAAGGUCUUCGGAGCGUAAAACUCUGUUAUUAGGGAAAAACAUAUGUGUGUAACUGUGCACAUCUUGACGGUACCUAAUCAGAAAGCCACGGCUAACUACGUG
rnacentral:rRNA from 1 species